AUUGAACGCUGGCGGCAUGCCUUACACAUGCAAGUCGAGCGCGAAAGGGGGCAACCCCGAGUAGAGCGGCGGACGGGUGAGUAACGCAUCGGAACGUGCCCAGUAGUGGGGGACAACCUCGAGAAAUCGAGGCUAAUACCGCAUACGACCCACGGGUGAAAGCGGGGACCGCAAGGCCUCGCGCUAUUGGAGCGGCCGAUGUCCGAUUAGCUAGUUGGCGGGGUAAGAGCCCACCAAGGCGACGAUCGGUAGCUGGUCUGAGAGGACGACCAGCCACACUGGGACUGAGACACGGCCCAGACUCCUACGGGAGGCAGCAGUGGGAAUUUUGGACAAUGGGGCAACCCUGAUCCAGCCAUGCCGCGUGCGGGAAGAAGGCCUUC
rnacentral:rRNA from 1 species